rnacentral:rRNA from 1 species
AGCGAACGCUGGCGGCAUGCUUAACACAUGCAAGUCGCACGGAUCGGCCCCGGUCGGUCAGUGGCGGACGGGUGCGGAACGCGUAGGGAUCUGUCCUCUGCCGGGGGAUAACCGCGGGAAACUGCGGCUAAGACCGCAUGGGGCGCCGGCGUGAGAGCCGGUUUCAAGGGGGCGCAUCGCGAGGUGUGUGUCGCCGGGAGGUGCGCCUGCGUCCGAUUAUCUGGGUGGCGGGGGUGUCGCCCACCAAGGCGGCGAUCGGGAGCUGGUCGGAGAGGGUGCUCAGCCGCACUGGGACUGAGACACGGCCCAGACUCGUACGGGAGGCAGGGGAGGGGAAUAUUGGGGGAUGAGCGCAAGCCUGAUACGGCAAUGGCGCGUGGGAGGAGAAGGGGUUCGGAUUGUAAAGCCGUUUCGGCGGGGACGAUGGUGACGGUACCCGCAGAAGAAGCCCCGGCUAACUUCGUG